rnacentral:rRNA from 1 species
AGAGUUUGAUCCUGGCUCAGGAUGAACGCUAGCGACAGGCCUAACACAUGCAAGUCGAGGGGCAACAUGGUAUCAGCUUGCUGAUACCGAUGGCGACCGGCGCACGGGUGAGUAACGCGUAUGUAAUCUACCUGUAACAGAGGGAUAACCCGGAGAAAUCCGGACUAAUACCUCAUAGCACAUAUUAUUCGCAUGAGUUUUAUGUUAAAGAGACUCGGUUACAGAUGAACAUGCGUUCCAUUAGCUGGUUGGCGGGGUAACGGCCCACCAAGGCAACGAUGGAUAGGGGUUCUGAGAGGAAGGUCCCCCACACUGGUACUGAGACACGGACCAGACUCCUACGGGAGGCAGCAGUGAGGAAUAUUGGUCAAUGGGCGAAAGCCUGAACCAGCCAAGUCGCGUGGAGGAAGACGGCCCUACGGGUUGUAAACUCCUUUUACCUGGGAAUAACGGGCGCUACGCGUAGCGCUGUGCAAGUACCGGGAGAAUAAGCAUCGGCUAAUUCCGUGCCAGCAGCCGCGGUAAUACGGAAGAUGCGAGCGUUAUCCGGAUUUAUUGGGUUUAAAGGGUGCGUAGGCGGAAGAAUAAGUCAGCGGUGAAAUGCUUCAGCUCAACUGGAGAAUUGCCGAUGAAACUGUUUUUCUAGAGUAUAAAAGAGGUAUGCGGAAUGCGUGGUGUAGCGGUGAAAUGCAUAGAUAUCACGCAGAACCCCGAUUGCGAAGGCAGCCUGCUAGGGUGAAACAGACGCUGAGGCACGAAAGCGUGGGUAUCGAACAGGAUUAGAUACCCUGGUAGUCCACGCAGUAAACGAUGAAUACUAACUGUUUGCGAUACAAUGUAAGCGGUACAGCGAAAGCGUUAAGUAUUCCACCUGGGGAGUACGCCGGCAACGGUGAAACUCAA